rnacentral:lncRNA from 1 species
GGACAGUUUCUAAAUCAAGUCCCUGCCUUAUCUUCAGGGAUUAUGCCUCUUUUAAAGCAUUAAAAAUAUUUUCUGCCUCCUGGUUUCCACAGAGGAGAGCAUGACGGUCUGCUCUGUGGAGAUGCAGUUCUCAGGCUCUGUUCUUUCCCACCGGAGGCAGGUAUGUGCUACACCCAUCCUGUAAUUAGUGCCUGCUCUGGGCCUCUUGUGGAGGAGGAUUGAAGUUUGCCAACAUAUUUGAAACAACUCUCCGUGUCAUUGGGAGAGCUCCAUGAAAGCACUCUGGCUUAUUAAAAAUGUCCAAAAUCACAUAUGUGUCUGCCAGGCAAAGGAUCAUCCCAGCUAAGGAUGAAAAAUGUUUUAGAUCAGAGAGUCCAUGCCCCUGCAAAGGUCCCAAAAUAGGAGACAUGUACAGUUCCAUCUUCAGCCUGAGGAGGCUUAAAGAAUAUUUCCCAUUUUCCCAGGGAGAGCCCUAAGCACCAGGGCAUGGAAGACAUCGUCCUGCUUUCUGGCUGAAGCUGAAAACAAGAUUAAGUCAAAGAAUUUAUAGAAGAGAGAGGGUGAGCCUGUAACGGUUAGGAGAUAAGGCUCUUUGGGACAAAGAAGGAAUUCAGCCUGGGUCCGAGUGCUGCCCUCUCAGCUCUGGAGGUGAGCCCAGCACCCAACAGGCUCUGCUGGAAAACACCCAUGGGGCAAGGAGUGAGCACAGGGGGAGUGCCACAGGAACACACCUACACCUUGACUCAUCCUCACCAGCUGACAGACAGGCUCAGAGAAGCCAUGUGAAGUUGAGUGCAAGUUCAUUUGCUUGUGACCUGGGACAGAGCAAAACCUUUGCCUCAGUUCUCAGUCUUUACGGCCCAAGGAGUGAUAGGCACUGAAGGACUUGCACCCACUUUUGACUGCAGCUGGCAUGGUACUGUGCAGGCAAAGAAUAAGAGACAUUUGCUCUCUGCAACACACUGCCUAGAAAUCUGGCAGGUCCAAAAUAACCUUGUAUUUCCAUGAAUAGGGGGGGUGCAGCCAUGAGCCUUCAUAAC